GUGGAGGAACACCAGUGGCGAAGGCGACUCUCUGGUCUGUAACUGACGCUGAGGCGCGAAAGCGUGGGGAGCGAACAGGAUUAGGAUACCCUGGUAGUCCACGCCGUAAACGAUGAGUGCUAAGUGUUAGAGGGUUUCCGCCCUUUAGUGCUGCAGCAAACGCAUUAAGGCACUCCGCCUGGGGAGUACGGUCGCAAGACUGAAACUCAAAGGAAUUGACGGGGGCCCGCACAAGCGGUGGAGCAUGUGGUUUAAUUUCGAAGCAACGCGAAGAACCUUACCAGGUCUUGACAUCCUCUGACAACCCUAGAGAUAGGGCUUCCCCUUCGGGGGCAGAGUGACAGGUGGUGCAUGGUUGUCGUCAGCUCGUGUCGUGAGAUGUUGGGUUAAGUCCCGCAACGAGCGCAACCCUUGAUCUUAGUUGCCAGCAUUUCAGUUGGGCACUCUAAGGUGACUGCCGGUGACAAACCGGAGGAAGGUGGGGAUGACGUCAAAUCAUCAUGCCCCUUAUGACCUGGGCCUACACACGUGCUACAAUGGGCAGAACAAAGGGCAGCGAAGCCGCGAGGCUAAGCCAAUCCCACAAAUCUGUUCUCAGUUCGGAUCGCCAGUCUGCAACUCGACUGCGUGAAGCUGGAAUCGCUAGUAAUCGCGGAUCAGCAUGCCGCGGUGAAUACGUUCCCGGGCCUUGUACACCACCGCCCGUCACACCACGAGAGUUUGUAACACCCGAAGUCGGUGAGGUAACCUUUUGGAG
rnacentral:rRNA from 1 species